UAGAAGUAGCUACACCAUAAUGUAGUUGAGCAUUAUGGUACUACUGUUUUCAUCAACAGCUAUAACUCCUCCCGUGGGCAUCCAUAAGUGGAGGCUGAUGUAUAAACAGAUGACGGAUGACUUUAUAGGAGCUUCAAAAUUCACCUGGGACACUUCAGCCAAGUAGAAGAGUCAAAAGAUUUUGUCUUUUUCCACAAAAAAGGUUUUAUUGAGAAUGUUUUUCUAUAAGUUUGUUCUGAAAUGCAUUUAUUCUUUACAUAUUCAAAAGACUUUAUCUUACACUUAAGAGAAAUUUAAAGUAAUUCAAUGCAUGGCCUAUGUACAGAAAAUCAUAAUUUUUUUCAGGUGUUGAAAAGCAAUCAAUGCAAUAGAGCAGACAAUUAAAAAACAAAACAAAAGAAUCUGACAUUUGAGGGUUAAUACUGCCGCUCCCUGGGAAUGCCAUUCAUUA